AGAGGGAGAGAAAUAAGGUUCUGGCCUUUUGGCUGCAAUCAAGUGUCUCCGCCUCUUGUGGGCUAAGAUGGGAGUAUAUGAAGUCCCAGGGUGGGUGGAGACUUCUGUUAAGACUUUUAUAAGUGCUCUUGGCACUAUCAAGACAUCAAGAUGUAACCCCUGUACACUGUGCUACUUCCCUGGACUGACAGGACUGGAAGGGAUAACACAACAAUCCACCCACCAUCUCUCUAUUGUACAUGUAAAGUUUGGAGUCACGUCCUUGACCAGUAAUGGAUGGCGAGUACUUUAUUAACCAUUGAACUUGCAUUCACCAGAAUGAAUUGGAGAAAUAAUUACAACACCUGCAACUGGAGGAUGAGUCAACCCUUGAUGAGACUCACUUGCUGAGUGAGUUAAAAGAACUGAAGCAGCCCUUAAAGUUAGCAAAUCAUCACUUCUGAAACAAUCUAGUACUAAUGUGCAAACAGUAAAUAGAAAUGAUCUUCAGAACAACAGCCCAUAACUGUAGAUAAACAGAAAUGCAGGCCACACUACAAAACUGUUUCAAUGUGUUGUUGCCCCCCCACACACCCUUCAGAAUGCAAAUUGCAAACAAUGUAAUCAAAAGGGUAUUUUGCUAAAGUGUGCAAAUCUUGCAUAGCUUAACUAAGCAUAAACUAGCGUGAUGCUAAAAAGAAGACUGAUAUGGAUUCUGUUCUCUAUAUGACCUCAAAAAAGGAUAGAGGCCACUUUAAUUAAUAGCUAUUCAGUAAUAAUACUCAGUAGGCUCCAUCUCCAGUUUCUGUCACUCUGGAACAUUUAUCCAUAUUUAAAAAAUACAUGCCCUGUAUAUUCCCCCCACAUCUCCUUUCUUACCAAAUCUUGUUUUUUCUUUCUACAUAUUUAGAUAAUCUGAUCCUUUCUUUCUUUCCCAUUGUGUAUAGCCUAUAGUUAUCUACUAAAAUAGCCUUCUCUCAGGUGUCCCUAAGACCCAGAUCAGUACCACUCAAUUUAUCCAAUGAUUAUCUUCUUGUCUACUAAUCAAAUCAUGCUGCUUCACACUUGAAAGUUCUCUGGAGGUAUCAAGUUUAAAUAUGCCAUCCUGUCAAGCCUAGGAACAGCCUCUCAGAGCCCAGCUGUUCUGCCUUGGCAUUUUACUCUAAGCAGUGGUGCUACCUGCAACAAUUCCUUUGAUUGCUUGUAUCACUCUGAAUUUGCCUAUUCUCCCAUAGCAUCACUUCCAAGGUGUCCCACUCCCGCUACUCUUCAUUUAGAUAUUUUUUGAAGGCUUGUUCCUCAGUGAGUAAAUAAAGAAAUUUAAAAUAUUAAUUAAAAAAACCCUUUAAAGCAGAACAAAUAUGAAUCUCUGCUUUAAAGAUUGUUUUUUGGAUAUUUGUUCUGCCAUCCAUGAUCUCACAGAACAUGACACCCUCCUUUACAAUUGUGAUUGAACAGCAUACUUGUGGAGAUGACAGUGACAUCGAGCAAAAACACUAGGAAAGUUUUUGUACUUCAGCAUGGUGUACAGCUGCAAACAAAAAAGAGGCUCUAGCACUAUGUGACCAGCUAGGCUGAAGGUCCAAAGGAAUGAUUUCAUCGGCUACUCUGACCCUCACCCUUGGCAGACUGCUGUAUCCUAGGGGCACGUUGGAAACCACUGAUCAAG